rnacentral:lncRNA from 1 species
GUCCCGCGGCGCCGGAAACUGGGCGCACACACCCUCGGAUUGACGUGCGCACGCGCACCGGUUACCUUCAGGAGCGCCGAAGAAGGAAAGAAGAACACAGAGCCCGAGGCAAAGCUUAAGUGCUUACGCUUUUGUCGGGAGGUACAGACCCAGCUCUGCGAGAGCCAGGGGAAAAGGAAGAGAGGCAGGGAAGGAAUGGCAGCAAGUACAAGGUGAUGAAUGACUGCACUGGCCAUUGCUUCAUGAAGAGCCACGAAAAAACAGAGCCGGUUUCUCAGCAGGUGGCUGGCUGCUCAGUCACAAAGGACCUCUUUGGACAGGCUUUAUGGAAAUACUGUGCCUAGGACAGUCGCUCAAAGGCAGGAGGGAGAGAAAAUGCAUCUGCAAGCUCACUUUGUCUUCUUUCUUCUGCUGGUCAAAAUUUGCUGGCUGGGGCAGUUAACGCCCUCACACAUCCGAGUUGUGUCACCUGGCCCCUUUGGUAGCCACUGGGGAAGCCAGAUCUAGGCAUGUGGCCUGAUGGCUCCUGCGGUGGAACCACAUGCUCACACUCAGUCAGUCACCACUGGGAUGCCCUGGGCAGGGCAGGCUGAGUGGCUGGGAGAUAGCUGAGCCUAAGAUAUCUAAGCAAGCACCUGUGAUGUAUGCACUGCAGUGUCCAAAUGUGAAAAAGCAAGAAAGGGAGAUAGAAGCAUAUUUUUUUCUGGAGAGAAGGAGGAAACCACCAGGAGAAUACAAACAGAAAAAAGACAUGCUCAUCAUGCCCUGCAAACUCCUAUGAACUGGAACUACAGCAGCUGUUCUGCCAGGGACAGGUUCUUCUCUAAAGUUCCAGCUCUCUGGAGGGAGAAAGCCCUGACUUUGGAUGGAGUUGAGCUCUGUCGCCCAGGCUGGAGUGCAGUGGCACCAUCUCAGCUGACUGUGACCUCCGCCUCCUGGGUUCAAGUGAUUCUCCUGCAUCAGCCUCCCGAGUAGCUGGGACUACAGGUGCACACCACCAUGCCCGGCUAAUUUUUGUAUUUUUAGUAGAGACGGGGUUUUGCCAUGAUGGCCAGGUUUGGUCUCAAACUCCUAACCUCAAGUGAUCCACCCUCCUCAGCCUCCCAAAGUGCUGGGAUUACAGGCGUGAGCCACUGCGCCCCGCCUACUUGAAUUUUUUUUUUUUUUUUUUUUUUUGAGACAGAGUUUUGCUCCUGUUGCCCAGGCUGGAGUGCAACGGCAUGAUCUCGACUCACUGCAACCUCUGCCUCCUGGGUUCAAGUGAUUCUCCUGCCUCAGCCUCCCAAAUAGCUGGGAUUACAGGUGCCCACCACUGUGCCUGGCUGAUUGUAUUUUUAGUAGAGAUGGGGUUUCAUCAUGUUGGUCAGGCUGGUCUUGAACUCCAGACCUCAGGUGAUCGGACUGCCUCGGCCUCCCAAAGUGCUGGGAUUACAGGCAUGACCCACUGUGCCCGGACCUGCUUGAAUUUUUAUGAUGAGCAUGUUGGCAGAUCACGACUGCCAGCUCCGUGACAGCAAGAACCUUGUAUGACUUUUUCAUGAUGGAUGUUCAUCUGUGCCAUCUGUAAAUAUUGAAUAAAUAUUUGUGGAAUACAUGAAUCUAAAAGUGAAUGGAAUGAUAAAGAGGGAAAGGGUCAUGACAUCUACUACAGCAUUUGGCACAGACCCAGGUUUCCCUGGUACUGGUAAUUCCCAGCAGCUUUCUACAAUUCCAAAGGUCAGAAAUAAACUGCCAAAAAAUUUUUACUAAAUCAUGUUCUGGUCUGGGAUACAGCCCUGAAAUGCACUUUGAGCAAGAAAGACUUUGUAGAGGAGAAAAAAGGUGGACCAAUGAGGAUUGGGCUAGAACCAGAGGAAAGUGAACAUUCUUGGUUUAGAUAAAUAUCCACAACCUUCUAAGGUUUUCAUGUGUACUACAGAGAAGCUCCAGGCUCCUACAUUUCCCUGUGGGUAGUUUUAAAAAGCUACUGUAGCAAAACAGAGGCUGGUGGUGACUACGCUUAUCUUUUAGAAGAGCCAUCAUUGCAUUUCUGCAGCACAGAAUAUAUACGUGUUUUUUACUCUUAGUGGUGGAGUUUAUAUGUGACUCAUGAUGUUUAGUUGUUAAUCAUCCAAUGAUACUAAAUACUGCUUAGUUAGCUCAGUAUUCCCUUUAGGAAACCAGAUAUUGCUAAAGUCACUGUUCGACUUAAUGGGGAAAAUUCCACUAACAUCUAAAAUAUGUGAUUUAUAAUUCAAAAAUGUAAAUACUGUAUUGGUAUUACAUACUAUAAAAGGACAAUUGUCUACACAAUUACAUAACAUGCAUGUAAGGAUCAAUAUUUAAUUAAGACUAUUUUUGUAUUCUCAUUGGGAGUUAGAGCCCAAUAUUCUCAAUUGGGUGAGAAUUUCAGCCAAAUGGUCUAUCCAUUUUCUUUUCUUUCUUUCUUUUUUUUUUUUGAGACAGAUCUUGCUUUGUUGCCCAGGCUGGAGUGCAAUGGUGUGAUUUUGGCUCACUGCAACCUCCGCCUCCUGGGUUCAAGCGAUUCUCCUGUCUCAGACUCCCGAAUAGCUGGGAUUACAGGUGUGCACCACCAUGCCUGGCUAAUUUUUGUAUUUUUAGUAGAGGUGGGGUUUCACCAUGUUGGUUAGGCUGGUGUCAAACUCCUGACCUCAGGUGAUCUGCCUGCCUCGGCCUCCCAAAGUGGUGGGAUUACAGGCGUGAGCCACUGUGCCUGGCCAGUCUAUCCAUUUUCUAUUUCCCCAAAGUAACUUGUGAGAAAUGUCUUAGGCUAGAAUUUGCUUAUAUAUUUUCCAUCUUGCACAUGGUUAAAACGUGCAGUUUCCUAAACCAGUGGUUCUCGAACAUCAGUGUGCAUUAGAAUCACCUGGAGGGCUGGUUAAAACACAGAUUGCCAGGCCGUUCUCAGGGUUUCUGAUUUAGUAAGUCUGGCGGUUGGACCCGAGAAUCUGCAUUUCUAACCAGUGAUUCCCAAGUGAUGCUGAUGCUGCAGGUCUGGGGACCAAUGUCUUGAACUAACAGCUCUGAAUAAAAAUCUAAUUGGAUUCUGAAUGCCACAGAUGCAGUUUGGAGAUUGUUUUUCAAAGCAGAAUAUCCAUUUGUGGAAUAAAAAAGUUUAUCAUUGUUAUUACCUGAAGUAAUUUCUCUUUCCUUUGUGUUUUUAGAGGAGUUUUGUUGGUCGCUUUUAUCAGGCAUUAGGCCUUGUAUUACAUUCAUUUGUGCCUAUGCUUUAUCUCCUUUGUGACUGUGAGCUCUUUGAAGGACUGUGUUCAUCUUUAAAUCCUCAUUGUACCUUACAUCUUGUAGACUUCAAAUCAUUGUUUGGUAAAUUGAAUUUAGUGAUGUGUACAUGUUUUGUGCCUGCUUUCCUACAUGUAAUAAUUAUAAACAACAAAUAUCAAGUUAAGUAUGC